CAUUAAAAAGUUAUUUAUUUUUCAUGCUACUUUUACUAAAUCUCACUAUUUCUAAACAUUUUCAUUAAUUUUCUUCAAUUUUCCAGGAAGCUACUCACUCCGGAAAAUAAUGGCAUGAUGACAUUUCAUUCCAAUGCUGUGUCCAUUAUUUUAUAGAUGAACAAGGAAUUAAGAAAAAGAGAAAUUAAUCUUGUCUAUUUCUAGUACAUGAUAGAUCUGGAGUUUUAAGUAUAAUUUUUGUAAUUCUACAGUGUUUCUUUUAUGUAUACUGACAUUCAACUGUUUUUUAGACUUUAUUUUCCAGAUAUAUUUAUCAGUUCCCUAAGUUUUUAAUUCAUUGUGUAUAUUAAAUGUCAUCAAUUUAUGCAGCUCAUUAAAAAAAAUCUUUUCAAAGCAUAUAUGUUUUUCAAUAAAUCAAUAUAAUUAAAUAGAAACAAAAACAAGAGACAUAUAGUUGUUAAGUCCCUGAGGCAUAGAUUAAUCCUACAAUUCUAAUAUUUUUGAUUCAUUCAAGGAGUCACAUGGUUUAUUGGGCAUAUUGUUAAGCAUUUGAUGAUUGAUUAAUGCGUUGUCUUCUUUUCUUUCCCCAAUCUACUGCCAGAUUCUGGAGAACUUGUGGAAGUUAUAAAUACACAUCAAGUUACUAUGUUGCUCUAUAAUCUGAGUUAUGGAAUGAUUGUACAGAAAUAUGCAGCUUGUCUUCAUGUUUCUCUAAUAUUUUUUUGUUGGCUAGUUGUCAAGAUGACAAAUAUGCUUCAACUAUAGUCUUAUGCACUAAGUAUAAUGGAAAUGUACAUCUGCACUGAAUUUUCCUUUUUUCUUUGUUUUUAAAGUGCUGAGUUCAGAUACAAAUUUUGGAUUGAAAUCAAAUCUGGGAAACUUUGGCAACAUUGCUGAAAUGAUAUUCCAAUAUAUUAUCCUUUAAUGAAACAAGUAUAGUGGGAUGAUUGAUUUAUGAAAAUUUUUUUUGCAUCAUUACUUGACAUAUACAAAGAGUUUUUUAUACUCAGUAUUUUGAAAAAUCCAUUUUAUUUUUAAUAUGCUUAUUUUGAAAUAUGAUAUUUUACUUGGUGAGACUAUUAAAUCCUACAAAAGUAUUUAUACAUAAUCCUUCUGAAAUCCAGGAAUAUGUUGUCAGAUAUUUUAUUAUAUUCUCUAAAUAUUACAUUUAACUAUAAUGUACUUCCUUUUGCCUGACUGCCCCCUCUGUAAUGAACAAAGCUGAGUUUUCUAUUAUCCAAUCUAACCUAAAUUGAUGUGGCCAUAAUCAUUUUUUAAAAUAUAUCUUAAAAAUGUCUUCCAGACUACAAAAUUUCUUUAUCAUAGAAAUGUUUAUAUUGCAACUUAGAGUUUAAUUUUUAAACUAUUCUUUAGUUUUAAAUGGAUGUUAUUCCAAGGAUAGAAUUACAAGAGCUAUCGCUUUAUCCAGCCUCUUCCUGAUGUGGUUGGCAUCUUUAAUAUUAACCAUGUGCCUGGGAUGAGGCUCUAAAAUGUAAUGCUGCUGUUUGGUAAGGACAAGCUCAUUCUAUUUUUGGCAUCUGCUGAGUAUCCCUUGUCUCAGACUACUCAUGAUAUGAAUAUUAACAUUAACAGAAUAAUUGAAACCAUUAGCACUCUAUACCCAUUUGGGUUUUGAUCCUGUUUACCUUCAAAUGUUAGGUAAGCCUAGAAAAGGAAAGAGAAGACUAGAACCAAGGGAUCUGUUUUUGUGCAACAUUUGGGAACUGAUUUGGUUCAUUCCUUGAAGUCAAGACAUGUUGGUUAAUGGAUACAAAAAUACAGUCAUGUAGAAGGAAAAAUUUCUAGUAUUUGAUAAUACAGUAGGGAUAUUAUAGUUAAUAAUUUAUUAUGUAUUUCAAGAUAGCUAGAAGAGAUGAAGAAUGUGUGGGAAGUGGCAGAGACAUGUUGGAACCCAAGUUUGAUUCCAAGUCCUGUCCUCUCUUUUCCUAUGCCACACCAGGCUUUGACUACUUGUUCUUCUCUGCAAUUGAACAUCCAGCAGAUAAGAAAAUUGCAACUCACAUAGUUACUGGCUAAAGUCAGUGUGGAACUGAGACGUGAAGCUAGGCUUCCUGAAAUCAGAUACAGGGAGUGUCAUUGUUGACAAGGUGUCAGAGCAACAUCAACAUCUUGCUGACCAGCCCAGCUGGAUUUUAACAGCUUCACUGAGAAAGGCCACAUUGUGAUAAAGAUAACAACAUUAAGAGUGGAUACAAAAAAUAAGAGGUGACACAGUUUAUUUAGCACAUACCCUAAAAGAUUUCAGAACCAUAUUCAGGUUCAUCUUUAAAUUGUACUACCCAAAAACCUCUUCUUUUAGCUUGUUCAAAAAUUAUUUUAUUAAUUGGUUCACUCAUCACUUUUACAGAAUAAUCAGUUAGCGAACAUUGCCUGGCUCUAUGGUAGAAAUAAAGUGUCCAGGCAUGGUUCCUGGCUUUAAGGGACACAGGACAAUUAUGCAAAAACAUAUAACGCAAACAUUAGCUCUAAGAGAAGCAGAAAUCCUUAUGCACAUUCAAAGGAAAGAAUGAUGAAUCAUUUUUGAGAAAUUAGAGAAGAAUUCUUGGAGGAAAAUAAAUUUUGAAAUUACUCCAUCUAUAAGCAGGGUUAGUGGCUGUGUAGAGGGCCUUCUUGAAAAAUAUAAGAAUGCCAGUGAAGUCAAUGGAAAAAAAAGUGAGUAGUUUUGAUUUGCUAGAUCACAGAGUGUACGUAUUUAUUCACUUAUGCAACAAAUACUUAAUGAGUGCCUAGUUUUGAGGCUGUAUUCUACUAGGUGGCCGGUGUACAUCGAUGAACAAAACUGACUUGGCCUAAGCCCUUAUGGAGCAAAUUAUAACCUAGUGAGAAGGCAGGCAGAAAACAGUAAGCAAGCUAUCAUUAUAAUAUUCAACUGGUAACAGGGGCUACAAAGCUAUAAACAAGAGACAGAGAGUGAAAAUAAGUAACAAGGGAGGCUUAUUUCAUGUAAUCAGAAAUGUCUAAAGAAGAGAUAUUUAACUUCAUACCUGAAAGAUGAAAAGUAGCCAGCCAAGGAAAGAAGAGUAUAAUUCCAAACAGAGAAUACAGCAUGUGCAAAAGAACCUGAAGGAGUAUAGAGUUUGUAUUUGAGAAACAGAAAGUCACGCACUGGAGAAUAGUGAGAGAGGAAGGUAGAUCGAGCUGAGACUGAAGACGGAAAUGGACCCAGAUCAAUCAGGGGCUUUUCUUAGAAUGGUGUUUGUUUGGAACUACAUAUGAGAUGGGAAGUCAUGAAACAAUUAAACAGAUCUGUAACAUGAUGUUGCUCUGGAUGCCAUAUGCAAACUAAAUGGACAGAAAUAAGAAAUGGAAGUGGGGCAAAUUGCCAAGAGGCUAUUGUAGUACUCUAUGUGAGAAAUGGUGGUUUCGAUUGGAGUGCUUGCCAGUGAGAUAGAAGUUUUUGAAGCCAAGAUGUAUUUACCAGGACUUGCUGAUGGCCAUUGAGACACAAAGCUGUUAAGGCUGGUUAGGUACUGGGCAUGGGGCAGUCAUGUGAUUCAGCUUCACAUCUUUUACUCCUGGAAGCCUUCACUGACCUUUGCAGGUUGGGGCAAGUGUCCCCUCUGCAGUGCUUGCAUAAUAGCCAAAGGUAUCUGGCAUUGCACUGUCCACAUUAUAGUGUAGUUACUUAUUUAUGUGUUUGUUUCCCCGAUAGACAGUGAGUACCUUCAGGCCUCAAACCAUAUUCAUCAUUGUCACUUCUCACUUAUAAACUCAGAAUAAGAAUUGGUUGAAGAAAUGAGGUCAGGCUGAAUUUGUUAAUAUUUUUUGAUUUUCUAGAAUAUUAGAGGGAAAUGUAUAAUAAAGAGAUUCAAACAAUAUCAAUUUAAAAGAAAAUGUUUGAAGAGCAAGGCAGUAAAUUAAUCUGUAUAUUAAGCUGUAAAUAGUUUAAAAGUAGUUGGGCUUGUAAUUUUUAAAUUAUUUAACAUGCCAAAAAAACCUGUUUGCUUUUAAAUAUACUUCAGAGUAUAUGAAUCAAAUACUCUUUUACUAAAAUUUGUUCAUCCUCUAAUCUACAAGUAUCAUAUGAUUUGAUCAAAGCUCUGUAAGUUUGAUGAUUUACCCAAAUCAGUUUUAAGUCCCAUCGAUAAUUUGAAGUAGGAUAUUUGAGAGGCAGAAGACCUGGUUUAUAUUCAUGUCUCACCAUUAACUAGUGGGUCAGUUUAUUCCUAUAGACCUCCUUUAUCACUUCUCGUAUUGUUCAAGUAUGUUUACGUUGUGUUCACAACUCUCCUAGGGUCUGCAGGUGUUUAGGGAAAGUGGUGGAGGAAACUGCAAUCAAAUACUUUACAAUCUACCCUGGCCUAUACUUCCGGCACUCAACUAUAAUUAACCAUAGUGUCAUCUAGUAUGGCUAAUCUCCUGGUUUCCCCAAGACUGAGGGUGUUCCCAGAGCAUGGACUUUCAGUGCUAAAGCCAAGGAACAUGAUUUCGUGUCAAAGAGAUCUGCAGAAGUGGUAUAUGGAAAAACAUCUCCAAGUGUACAGUGUGAAGAUAUCCGCGUCUUAAUGUAAGUACUCAACAAAAAUCAUUCUUAACAGAGGGGAGCUUAGUAACUGGAUGGUCAAGAUAACUUAUUUUGUAGAUGUCAGUCACCGGUCACCUUGUUUGUGCCCAACAGGCACAUAAAUGAAAUGUUCAUUGGUUCAGCAAACUGGGCUUUUACUUACCACGGACAAUCUGGUUAGAGCUAUUUCCGAGUGCCCCACAUGCCAAUAGUAGAGGCCAACACUUGGUUUUAGUAUGACAUUAUUCUCCAGGGGUCCCAGCCAGUGACCUAUUGGCAGAUUGAUUAUAUUGAGUAGCUUCUAUAGUGGAAGAGGCAGUGCAUUUUUUUUUUUUUUUCUGGAAUAGGUAUUCUGGCUAUGAUUUUGUUUCCUCAUCCCAAAAUGCUUCUUCUAAAACCAUCAUCCUUGAACUUUCAGAUGCCUUAUUCACUGUCAUAGUUCACAUAGCAUUGUUUUUGACAUGGAAAUUAAGUUUACAGCAAAUAAAAUGUGGCAUUGGCACAUGCUAAUAAAAUUUAUUGAUGUUAUUAUGUCCCCAUCUAAUAUGAUUUUGCUGU